CUUCUUCGAUCUGCUGCGGACAGAUGAAAUGGAUGUGAACGUCGAGCGCCCCGGCGGUCAGGAUCUUGCCCUCCCCGGCUAUGGCUUCCGUCCCGGGCCCGACGACGAUGUCGACAUCCGGCUGAACAUCCGGGUUGCCCGCCUUGCCGAUACCGACAAUGCGGCCAUCCUUCAGCCCGACAUCAGCCUUGACGAUACCCCAGUGGUCCACGAUCAGCGCGUUUGUGAUCACCGUGUCGACAGCGCCGGCGCUGCGCGGUGCCUGUGACUGGCCCAUACCGUCACGGAU
rnacentral:sRNA from 1 species